ACAUUUCCACCUAUACUUGAUUGAAAAAAUCUUAACAUCAAAGCCUGGUGGUGAACAAAUUAUGCAAGAGUAUGGAAAAACCAAAUCCCUGACAGAUGCCACCAGAAGACAGAUGAUUAACAUACUUGCUGCUGAGAUGACAGAAACACAUGGGACAUCCCCCCCCAAAAGUGUCAGAGUGAUGUAUGCACAGGGGAUAGUAGCUUUGUUUCCCUAUCUAGAAGACCCAUACUCACAACAUGGAUAUGAACAUUACUACGAUCCAGAGAGUGGUUCAGGAUACCUUGCAUGGCGAUUGAAGACCAUACAAAGAAAAACAGCAGAGUAAAGAGGUACCUCAGUCAGCAAAUCUCCUA